rnacentral:rRNA from 1 species
GUCGAGAAUCUUUCACAAUGGGGGCAACCCUGAUGGAGCGACGCCGCGUGGAGGAUAAGGUCUUCGGAUUGUAAACUCCUGUCAUGCGUGAACAAGGUUGCUUGGUUAAUACCUGGGCAAAUUGAUGGUAACGCAAGAGGAAGAGACGGCUAACUCUGUGCCAGCAGCCGCGGUAAUACAGAGGUCUCAAGCGUUGUUCGGAAUCACUGGGCGUAAAGGGUGCGUAGGUGGCGUGGUAAGUCAGAUGUGAAAGCCCGGGGCUCAACCUCGGAACUGCAUCCGAUACUGGCAUGCUAGAGUACUGGAGAGGUGACUAGAAUUCUCGGUGUAGCAGUGAAAUGCGUAGAUAUCGAGAGGAAUACCAAAGGCGUAGGCAGGUCACUGGACAGUUACUGACACUGAGGCACGAAGGCCAGGGGAGCGAACGGGAUUAGAAACCCCGGUAGUCC